AUUGAACGCUGGCGGCAGGCCUAACACAUGCAAGUCGAGCGGAUGAAGGGAGCUUGCUCCUGGAUUCAGCGGCGGACGGGUGAGUAAUGCCUAGGAAUCUGCCUGGUAGUGGGGGAUAACGUCCGGAAACGGGCGCUAAUACCGCAUACGUCCUGAGGGAGAAAGUGGGGGAUCUUCGGACCUCACGCUAUCAGAUGAGCCUAGGUCGGAUUAGCCAGUUGGUGGGGUAAAGGCCUACCAAGGCGACGAUCCGUAACUGGUCUGAGAGGAUGAUCAGUCACACUGGAACUGAGACACGGUCCAGACUCCUACGGGAGGCAGCAGUGGGGAAUAUUGGACAAUGGGCGAAAGCCUGAUCCAGCCAUGCCGCGUGUGUGAAGAAGGUCUUCGGAUGGUAAAGCACUUUAAGUUGGGAGGAAGGGCAGUAAGUUAAUACCUUGCUGUUUUGACGUUACCAACAGAAUAAGCACCGGCUAACUUCGU
rnacentral:rRNA from 1 species